UGGAGGGACAUCAGACAGAGCUACAACCAGUGAGGGACAAAAGUGAGGCAGCUGCUGAAGAGGCUGAAUUGGUUUGAUCCAGAGAGGCAGUUAUGCAUAAGAGCAACCACUCUCUAUUGAAUUAGGAGAUCUCUCAUGCAACACAUCUCACCAAUUACAAGUCUCUGCAGGGAAGUGUCAGCUUUACUUGCUACACCAAGGACAGUUGGGCAAGAUCAACAUCAGACAUGGACAUUCUGUGCCACUGAGAGAUCUCAUUAUUAUGCCUUUCCUGGGAAUCCCUUGCCCUCAUCCCACCUCAGCCACUAAUAAAACCUUAACUUUAUCUUUUAGUGAAAUCGAGGACCAUUAAUUAACCCAGGAGCAGAG
rnacentral:lncRNA from 1 species